rnacentral:rRNA from 1 species
UARACAUAGAUAGUUAGCACACACAAAACUAUCCGCCAGAGAACUACAAGCGAAAAGCUCAAAACUCAAAGGACUUGGCGGUGCUCCAUACCACCCUAGAGGAGCCUGUCCUAUAAUCGAUACCCCACGCUCUACCUUACCAUCCUUUGCAAUUCAGCCUAUAUACCGCGUCGCCAGCCUACCCUGUGAAAGAAACAAAGUAGGCAAAAAAGUUAACAACUAACACGUCAGGUCAAGGUGUAGCAUAUAAGAUGGAAGAGAUGGGCUACAUUUUCUAUCACAGAAAACACAGAAAGUGUAAUGAAACACACACCCAAAGGUGGAUUUAGUAGUAAGAUAAACAAGAGAUUUUAUCUAAAACUUGCUCUGGAGCGCGCACACACCGGCCGU